GAUGAAGAACGCAGUGAAAUGCGAUAAGUAGUGUGAAUUGCAGAAUUCAGUGAAUCAUCGAAUCUUUGAACGCACAUUGCGCCCCUUGGUAUUCCAUGGGGCAUGCCUGUUCGAGCGUCAUUUGUACCUUCAAGCUUUGCUUGGUGUUGGGUGUUUGUCUCGCCUUUGCGUGUAGACUCGCCUUAAAAUAAUUGGCAGCCGGCGUAUUGAUUUCGGAGCGCAGUACAUCUCGCGCUUUGCACUCAUAACGACAGCGUCCAAAAGUACAUUUUACACUCUUGACCUCGGAUCAGGUAGGGAUACCCGCUGAACUUAAGAAUAUCAAUAAGCGGAGGA
rnacentral:misc_RNA from 1 species